CCAGUUAAGGUCCCCAAAUAUAUGUUAAGUGGAAAAGGAUGUGGGGUUGCUUAGACAACCAGGAUGUUGGCUUAGAAGCAGCCACCAUUGAAAGAGUGCGUAAUAGCUCACUGGUCGAGUGACCCCGCGCCGAAAAUGUACCGGGGCUAAACAUAUUACCGAAACUGUGGAUGAACCUCUUCGGAGGUUCGUGGUAGGAGAGCGUUCUAAGGGCGGUGAAGUCAGACCGGAAGGACUGGUGGAGCGCUUAGAAGUGAGAAUGCCGGUAUGAGUAGCGAAAGAAGGGUGAGAAUCCCUUCCACCGAAUAUCUAAGGUUUCCUGAGGAAGGCUCGUCCGCUCAGGGUUAGUCGGGACCUAAGCCGAGGCCGAUAGGCGUAGGCGAUGGACAACAGGUAGAGAUUCCUGUACCAGUGCUAAUUGUUUAACCGAUGGGGUGACACAGAAGGAUAGGGAAUCGCACGAAUGGAAAUGUGCGUCCAAGCAGUGAGUGUGAGAAGUAGGCAAAUCCGCUUCUCGCGAAGCAUGAGCUGUGAUGGGGAAGGAAAUAAAGUACGGAAGUUCCUGAUUUCACGCUGUCAAGAAAAGCCUCUAGGAAGAGUAGUACUGCCCGUACCGCAAACCGACACAGGUAGAUGAGGAGAGAAUCCUAAGGUGAGCGAGAGAACUCUCGUUAAGGAACUCGGCAAAAUGACCCCGUAACUUCGGGAGAAGGGGUGCUCUAUUAGGGUGCAAGCCCGAGAGAGCCGCAGUGAAUAGGCCCAGGCGACUGUUUAGCAAAAACACAGGUCUCUGCAAAACCGUAAGGUGACGUAUAGGGGCUGACGCCUGCCCGGUGCUGGAAGGUUAAGAGGAGUGCUUAGCUUCGGCGAAGGUACGAAUUGAAGCCCCAGUAAACGGCGGCCGUAACUAUAACGGUCCUAAGGUAGCGAAAUUCCUUGUCGGGUAAGUUCCGACCCGCACGAAAGGCGCAACGAUCUGGGCACUGUCUCAACGAGAGACUCGGUGAAAUUAUAGUACCUGUGAAGAUGCAGGUUACCCGCGACAGGACGGAAAGACCCCGUGGAGCUUUACUGCAACCUGAUAUGGAAUGUUUGUACCGCUUGUACAGGAUAGGUAGGAGCCGAAGAGACGUGUGCGCUAGCAUACGAGGAGGCAAUGGUGGGAUACUACCCUGGCUGUAUGACCAUUCUAACCCGCCACGCUUAGCGCGUGGGGAGACAGUGUCAGGUGGGCAGUUUGACUGGGGCGGUCGCCUCCUAAAGAGUAACGGAGGCGCCCAAAGGUUCCCUCAGAAUGGAUGGAAAUCAUUCGCAGAGUGUAAAGGCACAAGGGAGCUUGACUGCGAGACUGACAAGUCGAGCAGGGACGAAAGUCGGGCUUAGUGAUCCGGUGGUUCCGCAUGGAAGGGCCAUCGCUCAACGGAUAAAAGCUACCCCGGGGAUAACAGGCUUAUCUCCCCCAAGAGUCCACAUCGACGGGGAGGUUUGGCACCUCGAUGUCGGCUCGUCGCAUCCUGGGGCUGUAGUCGGUCCCAAGGGUUGGGCUGUUCGCCCAUUAAAGCGGCACGCGAGCUGGGUUCAGAACGUCGUGAGACAGUUCGGUCCCUAUCCGUCGCGGGCGCAGGAAAUUUGAGAGGAGCUGUCCUUAGUACGAGAGGACCGGGAUGGACACACCGCUGGUGUACCAGUUGUUCCGCCAGGAGCAUCGCUGGGUAGCUAUGUGUGGCAGGGAUAAACGCUGAAAGCAUCUAAGCGUGAAGCCCCCCUCAAGAUGAGAUUUCCCAUUUCUUCGGAAAGUAAGAUCCCUGAAAGAUGAUCAGGUAGAUAGGUUUGGAGUGGAAGUGUAGCGAUACAUGGAGCGGACAAAUACUAAUCGAUCGAGGACUUAACCAAAA
rnacentral:rRNA from 1 species